CCGCGGUAAAACCGGUUACUCCUACGGGAGGCAGCAGCGGGGAAUAUUGCACAAUGAGCGCAAGCCUGAUGCAGCGACGCCGCGUGGGGGAUGACGGCCUUCGGGUUGUAAACCUCUUUCACCAUCGACGCGGUAGGUGGAGAAGAAGCACCGGCCAACUAC
rnacentral:rRNA from 1 species